AUUAGUAAAAAAUCUAGAAUAAGUGGAAAUCCAUUUUAGCUGUGUUGAUUUAUUAUUUUUUUCAGAAGGAAUCAUCUUCCUCCCAGCCACCGCAGCCUGCAUUGGUUCAGCAUAUUCCCCUAAAUUUCAAAACCCUAGGAAAUCCGAUUGCUGUAUGUGCCGCUGCAUAUGUUAUCAAUGAAGAUACUUUAAAAUUAUUAUCAACAUUGGAGUGAUGCUGCUGAGGUUUAGGGUUCAAUCGCAUUGAUCAGAUAAAAGAGUAUAGUAGUUGAGCUAUCCAUCUACAACGGCAAAGUUGAAUCUGCAAAUUAUACAAGGCGAUUUGGCAAUUCCAAUCAUGUUAGACGAGAAUCCAGAUAAUCGGCAGCAAGAAGAUUCUGCCAUCGGAGAAUCUCCAGACGCUGCCAAGGAUGGCGGUGACGAUAGAAAUACUGCGAGUAGCUCAAAUUCAGCAAUGGCGGAUGGUUUGUCCUCGUUGAUUUCAUCUGUCAUGACUGCCUUCGAUUCCCGAGCUGAAGCCACUGCCCGGAGCCAAGAUGAACUCGCCUCUGCACUCGAUCGUCUCACUGGAGGUAGUUAAACAAAUUGUCCAAUUGAAUACUCGUCUCUUUCAAAUUGUCCAAUUCCCUGUGCAUAAAUGGUGUUUCUCUUUGGCCUUUGAGUCUAUCAGGAUCUACUCAGCUAAUGUGAAAUUGGGUUACUAAUUGUAAAAUUAAAUUGAUGGAACAUGCUUGUUAUUUGGGAUAAUCCAGUUGUAUUCUUUGAGCUACAAUGAAGUAUUUUUCUGAA